GCUUCCUGUUAGCCACAGACAGAGAGGAGGAACAUCCAGCAAGUGCCUUCAUGCAGAGCCCUAUUUCUGCCAGUGGCAAUAUAAAUGCAGCAGCUGAAGAGGAAGCAAAGUCUUGGCCCUCUGCUCUAGCCAGCACCUUGGAAACGUUAACAAAGAGAACAAAUUGCCACUGUGUUUGCAAAGCUCUGCCAGGAAAAAAUGCCUGAGGUUUGCCUUGGUGAUGGCCUAGGUGGUUACAAUUCUGGAGCAGAGAUUUCUGACUGCAGGUUAUGCUACCAAACUAAAAAAUAAAAAAUAAAUCCACAGUGAAA